UAGUGAGUUUGAUCCUGGCUCAGGAUGAACGCUGGCGGCGUGCUUAACACAUGCAAGUCGAACGAUGAUCCGGUGCUUGCACCGGGGAUUAGUGGCGAACGGGUGAGUAACACGUGAGUAACCUGCCCUUAACUCUGGGAUAAGCCUGGGAAACUGGGUCUAAUACCGGAUAUGACUCCUCAUCGCAUGGUGGGGGGUGGAAAGCUUUUGUGGUUUUGGAUGGACUCGCGGCCUAUCAGCUUGUUGGUGAGGUAAUGGCUCACCAAGGCGACGACGGGUAGCCGGCCUGAGAGGGUGACCGGCCACACU
rnacentral:rRNA from 1 species